rnacentral:ncRNA from 1 species
GGCCGGGCGUGCGGCUAAUACAAUACCCGUAAGGGAAAUAUGCCCGCCGGCUAUCUGCGGUUUUGAACGCCUGGUCGCCCUCUC